AUUGAACGCUGGCGGCAGGCCUAACACAUGCAAGUCGAACGGUAACAGGAAGCAGCUUGCUGCUUUGCUGACGAGUGGCGGACGGGUGAGUAAUGUCUGGGAAACUGCCCGAUGGAGGGGGAUAACUACUGGAAACGGUAGCUAAUACCGCAUAACGUCGCAAGACCAAAGAGGGGGACCUUAGGGCCUCUUGCCAUCGGAUGUGCCCAGAUGGGAUUAGCUAGUAGGUAGGGUAACGGCUCACCUAGGCGACGAUCCCUAGCUGGUCUGAGAGGAUGACCAGCCACACUGGAACUGAGACACGGUCCAGACUCCUACGGGAGGCAGCAGUGGGGAAUAUUGCACAAUGGGCGCAAGCCUGAUGCAGCAAUGCCGCGUGUAUGAAGAAGGCCUUCGGGUUGUAAAGUACUUUCAGCGGGGAGGAAGGGAGUAAAGUUAAUACCUUUGCUCAUUGACGUUACCCGAAGAAGAAGCACCGGCUAACUCCGUG
rnacentral:rRNA from 1 species